CCUACGGGUGGCAGCAGUGAGGAAUAUUGGUCAAUGGGCGGAAGCCUGAACCAGCCAAGUAGCGUGCAGGAUGACGGCCCUACGGGUUGUACACCGCUUUUAUACGGGAAUAACGCGCCUUACGUGUAGGGCUUUGCAUGUACCGUCUGAAAAAGCACCGGCUAAUUCCGUGCCCGCAGCCGCGGUAAUACGGAAGGUCCGGGCGUUAUCCGGCUUUAUUGGGGUUAAAUGGAGGGUAGGCCGAAUGUCAAGCUUGCUGGGAAAUUGCCGGGCUUAACCCCGGCCUUGCAGUGCAACCUGGCGUGCUUGAGUCCGCGGAAAGCAGGCGGAAUGCGUGGUGUAGCGGUGAAAUGCUUAGAUAUGACGAAGAACCCCGAUUGCGAAGGCAGCAUGCUGCAGCGGAACUGACGCUGAUGCUCGAAAGCGCGGGUAUCGAACAGGAUUAGAUACCCGGGUAGUC
rnacentral:rRNA from 1 species